ACAGCUUGCAAUGACACGAGCGCCUGUAAAGCUCUGAGCUCCCAAUGUGUUGAUGUGGGAAGCUCCAGCUCUUGCGACGCUACAAACGCCAGCUUGUGUGGAUCAAAAUUCUGCACAUGCUGCAUUAUAACACCAUGCACACAAACUACCGAAUGUACCGGAUAUGGUGGCAAUUGCAGUAAGAUCUCAGCUGGAUGUUCGGGCACUUCCUAUGACGCAGGAUGCGCAGCUUCAACUUGCACUUGCUGCAUUGCUGAUACUUCUACUUGUGCCACACUACCUACCUGCAGAGAUGCUAGAGGGUUGUGCAUUGCUCCUUCUCAAUCAGGCAACUGCACAGGUGUUCUCGAC